CCUUUUUCCACCUUCCCUGGGAGGACAGGGCCCUGUCUGACUCCAGCCACCCAAAGCUGAGGCUGCUGAAGAGGCCAGAGACCAUCCUGGCUGUCUUUUAGUGCAGACCCAGGUCAUUGAGCCUGAGCUUCCACAGCUGCCAACCACCAUGAACCCCCAUUGGCAGGAUUGGCAGCAACAGUAGCAGAUAUGCUCUAUGCUUAUGAUAAUGUUUAUUUUCUUGUUGAUUAUGCUGUUAUAAAAGUGCACUUUAUAUUUGACUUCCUCUAGUCAUGUUUUCUUUUGAAAUGUUUAAGAAGAGAAGAGUUUGGAUUUGAUAUCCCGCUUUAUCACUACCCGAAGGAGUCUCAAAGCGGCUAACAUUCUCCUUUCCCUUCCUCCCCCACAACAAACACUCUGUGAGGUGAGUGGGGCUGAGAGACUUCAAAGAAGUGUGACUGGCCCAAGGUCACCCAGCAGCUGCAUGUGGAGGAGCGGAGACGCGAACCCGGUUCCCCAGAUUAGGAGACUACCGCUCUUAACCACUACACCACACUGGCUCUCUUAAGGUAUUGCUUUAGCCAACUUUGCUGCAUUAAAUGUACAUUCUGUAGUUGACCUCCUUCGUAAUGUUCUGUUUUGAGAUCUUGAAGGUAAUGUUUUUCUUUUAUGUUAAUUAUUUUGCUUUGAAUAUAUACUUUAUAGCUGACUUUCUUUAUUCUUUGUUCUUCAUUCUUCAUUGUUUCAUUUGAUCUUUUAAUAUAUUGUAAACUGAUUAGAAUUUUUUUUUCUUUAAAACAUAAAGUGGUAUUGAAAUGAAAUGAAUAAUAAUAAUUGUUCCACCCACUUUUGAUAUUGCUUCUUUCUCCACCUUCCACUGGCAUGUGGCCCCUGGAAGGUUGCCUAUGAAGAAAUGUGGCCCUUUGUCUGAAACAGACACUCUACCCAUUGUGUAGACCAGUGAUGUCCAAACUUUUUCCAAAGAGGGUCAGAUUUGAUGAAGUGAAGGUCCGUGAGGGCCGACCAAAGGACCGACCAAAGUUGUUAGCCUUUUUUUUAGGAUUGAAGUUGUUGAGGGUUUUUAAGGAUUUUACCCCAGAAAAUGAACUGCCACAGGGGCCGGAUUAAACUGACCAGCGGGCUGGGUUAGACCCCCGAAAUGGACUUUGGACAUGCCUGGUGUAGACAAUACUGAACAGAUAGACCAAUGGUCUGACUAAGUAGACAACUUCCCACGCUCCUGUGUCUGAAUAACACAACAUUCUUCUGCAGGAAAUGUGUUGAAGGGGAUGGAAGUGUUUAAGGGAAACAGUUGAACCUGUGACAAAGGCAAAUGGGAAAAAUAUAUGAAAUCUGUCUUCUCAUUCAUUCUCUUCUCUUCCCUCACCCCCCCACCCCACCACCUUCUUCUUCUUUUGAAUUGGAUUGAAACCGCUAUCAUGAAGAACAUGUCUGAUUGGAUUGAGAUGUCCCCAUCACGGGAAGCAGGCAAGGCCUGAUGCCCCAAUAACAGAAGCUGCACAAGCAAUUUAACAUGUGGCUUCAAUCCAAUUCCCUGAGCGAUUCCCCCUCUUUGUGUGUGACAACAAGACAAAGUGUUGCAUGUGUAGAAUCGCAGGAGGGAAUAAGGAGACGCACCGGUCUGAGCAGCUGGAACAACUCGUCUGUAGCUUAGUAGCAGAUCAUUGGGCUUGGAGUCUGCAGAACCAAAUCUAAUCCCACCAUUUUCCCUCCCAUUUAAGAAUUCUGUAUUUAUUGCUUGGUGUUUCCGUUUGGCUAGAGAGGGGUGUUAAAUGGCGUUCUGCCAAGUUUUCAGAACAUGGAGAGUAUUAAAGGGAAUCUGUGUUAUCCUUAAGCAAUGGGAAGGGCCAUAGCUCAGUGGCAGCGCAUCAGCUUUGCAUUCUGAAGGGUCCAGGUUCAAUCCCCAGCAUCUCUAGGUAGGGCUUGGAAUGCCCCCGUCUGAAACCCUGUGGAGCCACUGCUAGUCACUGUAGACUGCUAAUGACAUCAGAUGUGGGCAGGUAAAAAGAUGACUGGGCUAAAAAAGGGACUUCUUGAAGUACCAACAACUGGUAGCACUUCAAAGCACAGUGCAGAGCUCUCUGUGAGGGGAGCCCUGCUUUGAAGUCCCAGCAAUCAACUGGUUGCAGGGGCUUCAAAAUGUCUCAUUGGCUGAGGUUAUUGUGCCCCACCCACCAGUCAAAUUUAUCCACAGAGGAGUAAGGGAGAUAAGGAUCUGACUCAAUAGCCAGAAUCAGUACCCACAUUCAUGUUGUAGUCAAUCCUGAUCUAGGUGAAUAUAGAAACAUAGGAAGGUGUUUUACAUUGAAUCAGACCAUUGGUCCAUCUAGCUCAGGGUUGUCUACAUCAGAGGUUCUCAACCUGUGGAUCCCCAAAUGUUGUUGGACUACAACUCCCAUCAUCCCUGAGCUCUGGCCUUGCUAGCUAGGGGUGAUGGGAGUCAUAGUUCAACAACAUCUGGGGACCCACAGGUUGAGAAAGGCUGGUCUACAUUAAGAAGCAGUGGCUCUCCACUGGCCAUUGCCCAUAUCGGCUGGGGCUGAAGUGAUCUGUAGUCCAGCAACAUCUGGAGGGCACCAAAAUGUCUACCCCUGAUGUACACCAGUGAGCAAAUCUGCUGCAGAACAUUCUAUAAUGGUAUGCCAGAGGUGAUAAAGAAGAGGAGCAGAAUGAUAGAAUGAUGCAUCCAUCAUGGGACUUUGGAGGGGAGUGCAAAAGACUUGGAACUGGGUUCUGGUUGACCCAGCCCCUGCCAAAGCCAAGAAGGAAUGCAAGUGGGACCAAGGCCACAUCUACACCAUACCAUUAAAGCACAUGGCUUCCCCCAAAUAAUUCUGGGAACUUUGGUUUAAUAAGGGUGCUGACAACUGUAGCUCUGUGCGGAUUAAGCUAAAGUUCAUGGGAUAUUUGAGGAGAAGACAUAUUUUAAUGUAUGGUGUAGAUGUGACCCAAGUCUCCUUACAAGUCAAGACCAGGAAGCAAGUCUGUCAUGGAAGCUUUUGCAGAGGCCAAAGUGUAUCAUCUUACCUGUUGUAACCUACUGGGAAAAAGACCGAGACUACAUUGAGUUCUUUCCCUUCCUUCCUUUGGCCAGAGUCUUUCCUACAGCUCAUUCCAUUGGUUGGUCAGUUGCUUUGGAGGACAAGGUCAAUGGUGGCUAUUAGUCAUGGAUCAGAGGUGGUAUACCACUGAAUGUCAGAUGCUGGGGGCAAAAAGCAGAAGCUCCUGAAUUUGCAGGAGGGUGGCAUGCUGUAGCUAUAAGGUCCUGCUUGCAGGCUUGGCUACUGUGAGAACAGGAUGCUGGACUAGAUGGGUCUUUGAGCUGAUCCAGCAGGGCUCUUCUUGUGCUCAUACGUUCAUAUUCAUGUUCUGCUUAGGGCUUUUGAUAGGCAUCUGAUUGCCUAUUGUGGAAAACAGAAUAGGUCCCAGGACAUGGUUUGAAAGCACAUGAGGCCACUAGCUUCCUAGUGCUGAUCAAGUCUGAGUCUGAUCAGUGCCAGGGUGGGUGCAUCUCUAGGAACCACUUGUAUGCAGUCUUGGGUUUUAUGAUGGAAGAAAGAUAGAAUACAAAUACAAGAAAAGAACUAAGCAAGUACAUUAGCUAGGCCUUUUAUCUGAUCCAGCAGGGUUCUUACAGUACAUGAGCUGAAUCUGCUGCCUUUUAGGUCAAGAGAUGCUGCAGGUGCAAGUCUUGACAUGUGCCGAAAGCAAGUGUGUGGAAGGCCGGAGGAAGCUUUUCCAUCGGUGCAUUCAAAAGCCCUGAGAAACACCUGUAGCCUCUUUCCAUCCUUAUCCGCUGCUCAGCUAGCUGAGCUGAAGAAACUCUCUGAUCAUCUAUUAAUCUCUUUUGUUGCUCAGAAGGCACCGCAAAGGCUUCAGCCGUGGAAGCUGUCUAAUGAUUCUCUUAAGAUCAAAAGGCAGGUGUCAUAAAGGUUAUUAAUAUUUUCCAAGUAAAAUAGUGUUUGCUUUUUAAAGCCCCUGCCAAAGCUCUCCUGAAAUGUGUUUGCCAUUAAAAAGAGGGGGGAAAGAGUACUGGAUGCCUUCAGCCAAUAUCUAGGUAGACAAUUUCCAGACCAAUUUGUGAUGCAUGAUUAACAGAUCAGAGAGGGAUUUUUUUUUCUUCAGAAAAAAAGAGUGUUAUCUUUGAAAUGUUCCAGAGUGCCUACUUCACCACUUGAGCAUCCCUGUUUAUAAUAGGCAACAAAUGUUGCAUUUACACAACAGCCUUAUGGAGCAAAAGGUCGCCAUGUUCAAGUGCAAAACUAUCUGAAAAUGGCUCUGGUUGCCUGACCAAAAAAAAAUGUGCUUUUUCCCCCUAAUUAAACUGUUUGGCUCCCUAUUGCAGAUCCCAAUACAAAAUAAAGAAAUGCCCUGAACAUGAAGCAAUAGUUUUCAACUGCUUCACUCUGGAGGAACCCUUUAUGCAUUGCUUUGUUGUCUGCAAAACUGCUGUUGACUGUGCAUUGCCCUGUGUGUUGCAUAAUCUAGAUCAGGGCUGCAGAAGCUGUAGCUUCCCAUUCUUGUUGAACUCCAGCUUCCAUCAGCCUCAGUCAGAAUGGCCAGCUAGAAUGAUGGAAGUUGUAUUCCAACAAACCCUACAAGGUUACAAGUUACCCAUCCCAACUCUAGGUGGUGACCAAAUAGUUAUAAUAGACUUGGCUAAAUACUGCAUACAAAUUAAGUGUGUGCUCCAGAAUACUCUACAACAGGGGUAACCGUAAUGGUCCCUCCAUGUAUUAGAAUUCAACUUCCAUCAGUCUGCAUGGUCAGUGGUCAGGGUUGGUGGGAGCUGGAAUUCAAGAGUAUCUGGAAAGUGCAUUUAUGAGUUAUCUCUACAAUGUGCAGCAGUAGUUUCUGGGACAUGUUUUAAAAGAGCAUUUUUCCAGUCCAUAUGGAGUGCCUGGUCCAAGCUAUCACUCUGUGCAAUUAAACUAUGCCCUUAAAAUGCACUUUGGAAGGUCAGUAAUGUCCUUCAGCCAUGUGCAGCCCUCUUGCCAAGGAAACUCUGUUGAGCAGGUUAGAAACCAUUCCGCUAUAAAGUAUUAAGAAUGUAUUGUUUGUGAAAUGGGUUCAUCGGGAUGUCCUUUCAUAUAAGCAAACAUUGUCCCUUGAAAGCUAGAAGCAUCAUCUCUUUUAAAAUGAAACCUGGGGUUCCCUAAGCAAGCUUUCAUUAGAAUCAUGUGUGCCUUUGCGAAUCACCAUAGAGCUUCUAAGAGUCCAGUGGUCAUACCAGGAUCCAGAAGAAUACAGAAAGGCAUCAGAGCCCAAAAGAUCACUGCUACAUAAGCCAGGUCCCAGUCUAAACAUGAGGUCUUUUGAUAGUGUCUUCUGUCUAGGAGGACCCAUUGUAUAAGGUAAGUGUACAGGGCUAGUAUGGAUCUGAGGACAAUUUACCGUGCAGGAAGACAUUCCAAAUGGAAGUUCGGGUGGCUCAGUUCAGUUUGCAUGAAGCAGUCAUGUACUAAGGGUCCCUUGAGUUAUUACAGGCAUAGGGAGCCUUUGGCCCUCUAGAUGUUGCUGAACUAUAACUCCCAUCAUCUCCAAUAAACAUCUCCAGGGAUGAUGGGAGCUGUAGUUCAGCAACAUCUGGAGGUCCAAAGGUUCCCCACACCUGCUCUAUCUCCAGUAGCUCUUAACAUCUGGUCACAAUAGCGUCAUGAUGUGUUCUGCUCAUGGGCUUCCAAGAGGCAUCUGGGAACAACAUGGUGGACUAGAUAGACCUACUGGUCUAGUCCAGCAGGGCUUUUCUUAUGCUCUUAUUAAUUGCAUCUGUGUGACUGAACCAUUACAGAUCUACCACUGCAAUUAGGGCUUUUCUGUCAUCUGAUGUCACCACAAAGGCAAUACUUUCCAAGAUAAAGUAUUCAGUAGGCAGCCAUCAUAUAAAGUACAAUAGGUAAAUAUAAGCUGGAGCUUGGUCCAUAAAGGCAAAUGGAGCUCUGCAUCCCCAGCAACCACAGUCUGCUCCCAGCCAGCCCCCACCUGACUUCUUUCUUACUUACAUCCAGUUCAGGCAAUGGCACUGGCUGUUAGCUUCCUCCUCAAUUUCAAUGUUGCUCUUGUAGACCUCAGCAAGGAGAAGGAUAGGGACAAAGCUAAAAUUAGUUGGCUCUACCCAUGAAUGGCUCAGGCUGCAUAUACUGUGGACUUCUUUGCCUUCCUUUCCACCAGUCCCAAUGGACACUAGCCACCACUGUGAGUGAACAUCACAUUUGGGAACCAGCUUAAUCAGGUAGUCCUACAAGUGUUUACUCAGAAGUAAGCCCCUUUGAGUUUAAUGACACUUACUCUCAACUAAGUAGGGAUUAGGAUUGCAGUCUUGGUUACCAAUUACUCUUCAAUAUUUCAGGCACUGUAGAAGAGGAAGGUGGGAAAGCUCUUUUUCAUAUACCAUGGAAGACCUUUUUAAAAAAAUGUUUUAAAAAUGUAGAUCAGAUUUAUUUAUGUUCCAAGACAAGUAUUUCUGACAUAAAGGGCAGCUUCUGAAUGCAGUGGAGUAAUGAAGUUUCUUGCAAAGCACAACACGGAACCAGCCUUAUUUCCUGCAAAUUAUAGAUUAGAACCUUCCCCUGCCUUUGUAGAAGUCACCAUUCCAUUUUGGACAGGUUAAGUAUAGCGUUAACAAGCUUUUAUUUCAGGAACAUGAAAGAAGUUUUGCAUGGAGUUUUCCCAAAAGGGAAGUAAAUAACACCUAAGAAUAUAGCAUGUAAUUUCAACGUCAGUGCUGAUGUCUAUGUAUACAGGUCUUAAAACCACCUUUCUUUGGAUCUUCUUCUGUUCUCAAAACAGUAGUUAGAGUUCAACGAUGUCCAAAUAUAAGCAUACAGAGCUGACAAGGUAUCCAACAGAGAUGCAGAGAGAAAAGAUGCAAGAGUUUAACUGAAGCAACUAGACACUGCAGCACCAUACAUAUGCUCCAACUCUUAAACUGGUUUUACAUAUUCUCCUGGUUAAACUGGAAUUCAGGAGGAGUAGAACAUAGCUCAUAAUGAACCAGAGGAAGAACAGAAUAAUAAAAUGAAAGAAAUCCUCUUAUCACUACUUCAUAAUUGAGGCUGAAUGUGCAAUCAGCCUGGACACUAGGCCUUGUUCACACAAAUGUUGCAGUGGGAUGAUGACACUGGUGGUUGCAUAGUACCAUCAUGACUUGUAGUCCUCAGUUGGCUUUCAUGAAUUUAACCGUCUUCCUUAAAGUCAUUUAAGCCAGGGUUGUUGAACUACAAUUCCCAUCACCCACAUGGUAGCUGUGGAUGAUAGUCCAGAUACCUCUGGAGAGGUACAGGUUCCCCAACCCUGGUCUGAACUAAAGGCUAUCACAUGUUGUGGAAAUAAGUUCCACAGAUCAGUUAAAUGAUGUGAGAGGAAGUGCUUCUCUGUCCUGAAUCUCCUGUCAAACAGUUUCAUUGCUGGAGGUAGGGGAGCCCUACUAAAGUAAUCACUGACUUUAUGCCAACCCAAGCACACACUACUUUUCAAACGUGUACUGGAGACUUAUCAAGGAUCGGUUAACAAGCACAACUGGAUCACUUGAUUUCACAAUCCUUGAUGACUGGUACUUGAGGUGAUAUGAGAAGAUACAAGAGUGUUCCCUAUGAUGUUUUGAUCUAUGAUGAAUCACCUUCAAGUUCCCCCCACACUGCAGUCAUUACUUGCAUACAUUCUAAAACUGGUCCUAAGGUUCUCAGUUAUUAAGGCUGCAUUCCUAUACACCAAGGAAUUCUGGGAGCUGUAGUUGUUGAAGAUUCUUAGAAGACCCCAUAUUUCCCUUCUAGAGCUACAGUUCUUAGGAGUAGUUUGACAUUCAAUCCCACUUCCCAGGGAACUAUAGCUCUGGGGGGGAAAUAGGGGUCCCCUACCUUUUAACAGCUGUCAACACCCUUAACAAACUACAGCUCCCAGAAUUCUUUGGGGAAAGCCAUGAUUGUUCGAAGUGAUAUCAUAGUGCUUUAAUAAAAGGUAAAGGGACCCCUGACAGUUAAGCCCAGUCGCGUACAACUCUGGGGUUGUGGCGCUCAUCUCACUUUACUGGCCGAGGGAGCUGACGUUUGUCUGCAGACAGUUUUUCUGGGUCAUGUGGCCAGUAUGACUAAGCCACUUCUGGUGAAACCAGAGCAGCACACGGAAAUGCCAUUUACCUUCCCACCACAGUGUUACCUAUUUAUCUACUUGCACUGGUCUGCUUUCAAACUGCUAGAUUGGCAGGAGCUGGGACCGAGCAAUGGGAGCUCACCCCAUCACGGGGAUUUGAACCACCGACCUUCUGAUCGGCAAGCCCCAGGCUCAGUGGUUUAGACCACUGCAUCACCUUUUAAUUAUAUGGUGUGAAUUCAGCUAUUGAGCUGAGCCUUAAGUUUAAUGGAAAUAGAACAAAGCAGCAUUUGAAUGUCAAUAUAUUUAUUGAUUUUUUUUUACCAGUUGCAUUGCUGGGGAAAAUAGGUUUUCCUUUUAGAAGCCUUCCUUCAGAUUACAGAUCCAGCCCCAGAGUUUGUGUAUAGAGCUCUUGCCUUCAAAGCACUAUCAGACCAGUACCCAAUAAAUCUUCAAAGCACUCUCAAGAGGCAAGAAAGUUGUUAUCAGGACAACUGUGAUAAAGAAGGAUUAAGGAGAUGUCUCAAAGCCAAACAGGAAGCUAGUGUCAGAGAUUGGAAAAUUAUUAGCUGUCAUGAUGACCUUGCAACUGCCAUUCAUGCUAGUGCUGUACCAAAAAAAAAAAAAUCAUCCUGCAUUUUAUUUUAUUUUUUAACCAUUCUCCAUCAGUUAAUGAGAAAAGAAACUGAUUUAAACAUUGGGAAAUAAGAGAGAAAAUGUUGAUGAAGAUUCACUUGGGUGAGGUGCAGCGUUUCUGUUGAGCUUUCCUUACUUUUGCAGUGACCAAGGGACACACAGCACUAAUUUGUGCUUUCUCUGCCUCAUGCUGACUUGUUGCAAUGCAUGCUACACAUGGUCACCUUUCAAGACCAUUUGGAAUCUUCUAAGGACACAAUUCUUCUCCUUACAGGUGUGAAUCUCCAGGAGCGCAUUACACCAAUGUAUCUGAGCCUGUGCUGAUUCCCUGUUGCCUUUUUAGCCCAAUUCAUUGCAUAUAUUUUUACUAAUAAAGCCUUCAUUGUGUCAGUGGGGAUGGCUACAUGAUCAUGCAUGUAACUGCAGACCCUCCAAGUAUCCCUAUUUUCCAAGGACGUCCCCAAUUUUCAUUGGAGAAAUGUUGGAGGGUAUGGUGACUGGUACUAACAUUAAAAAACUUAUGCAGCUCAGGCCCUGGCUACAUAUAUACCAGGUAGGCCAUUGUGGUCUGUGGGAGCACUUCUCCAUCAAGUUCCAAAUACAUCAGAAACAGACUCCACAGGAACUCAGAGCAGGGCUUUUUGUGUGACUGCCCCUGAUCUGUGGAAUUGCAUUUCUCUUGAGAUAUAACAGUUGUCUACUAUCUUUACCUUCCGGAAACAACUGAAAGCAUUUUGUUUUGUUUCCAUGCUGGAUGGAUAGAUCUCUAACAUGGGUGUCUCUUUUGUAUUUUUUAAAAAUUUUAUCUGAUGAUGUGGGUGCAAUGGGUAGGUGGGUGGGUUGUUUUUAACUGGGGGGGUAGCCACUUUUAUUGGAUUUUGUACAUCACCUUGAUACAUGUCUGUGGAAGGUGGUAGACAGAUAAAUAACUGUUCCAUAACUUCUUGUUAUUGAGCCCUUUUAUCAUGAGAACUGUGGAUUUUUCUGUGCACUGGCCCAACGUUGCUUAGUGAGCAUCAUGGCUGAGCAGAAAUUUGAACCUGGAUCACUCUAAGUCUAUGUCCAACACUGUAGUCACUACAGGCUUUUUUGAAUGUGUGGAGAUGCCCUGGGCAUUCUUCUGGAGUGGGUCUUGUAGGUUUCCAAACACAGCUUUGCCAAAAGUCCUGAGUCUGAACUAGAAUGGCAUUGGGCAGAAGUUUCAUUUUUCAGUGAUCAUGGAUUUUAGGGCUGAGCUGGAUGAGCACAGAUUUCUUUGCUUGAUAUUGUGGGGGAAAGUGCUUUGGCACUUAGGCCUGGAAGCCCUUCCUCCUAAUCCUAGCUUUGUGGUGGCUGGUAUCAAUUAUUCUCUAUAUCCAAUAAAUAUUUUUUUGGAUAUGCAAAAUAUCCAAGAAAAGAGAAAAAAAUUAAGUGAAAUUCUCAUGUGUGGGAUGUGGGAGUUUUCUUCCACUUGUCUUACCUUUGAGAUAACUGAGGGAUGUUUGUGAGUGUCCUUCCUUUCCUUUCAUUCCACACAUCAUCAUCUGGUGAUCAGCAAUAUGCAGCUUUUCCAGGUGUCCUAGCUUCCUUAAAAAAAAACAACCAUGACAUCCUUGACUGGGUGUUCCUGUGUGCACAGAAAGGCAAGGAGGCUGCCCACCAUGAUGUUGAUAGCUGUUCCUUGGCUUCUGCAUGGGUUGGUGCAUGCAUGUGAACUCUUUUUUUCCUCUUCCAGAAGCAAGAGUGGAAAGAUUUUGUUUUUAAGGUAAAAGGGAGGACUUUCCUUAAAAACAAAAUAAAUGGGCGUACCAGUCUCAGGCAUUGGGUAAAUAACUUUCCAGUUUUCUGAACUUUGAUUAAAUCACAGGGGAGGUGGUGUCUCCCAAGGGGCUUCUUCUGAUCAGGAAGCAUGGACAGAUGGGGAGAGGGCCUAGUGCUGGAGAAAUGUUUAAUGGAAAGAGAAACACAGGCACCAAUCUUGACCACCUUGCAAUGAGAAGGGAUGCUUAACCUCAUUCUGAAUCAAUUUUCAAUGCCCUGAAAAUGAGGCAAAUUAUAUAAAGCUCUUUUGUGGGGGAAGGAAACUGCUGAGAAAUAGGAGGACAAGUUUUGGUGUGGCAUUAUUUUACACGCGUUCAGAAGCAAUCCCUUCUGUAGCACUCACUCCUGGGCUAAUCGACCACUAUGGCAAUACUGAAACUCUUGCAUCCAAGAAUAACUUCUGCUGCAGUAAAAAAAAAAAAAAUGGCACAGCCUAUCCCCUGAUUAAAAGAUAAAUCAAAAUUUGUUAAGAGAGCGGAAGAGUUGGAGGGCUGAUUGCUAACACCAGUGGGGAGGGGAAGGGGAGAGAGAAAGAUGAAAGGGAAGCCUAAUCGGAGACUUUCUUUAAGCUCUGUUGAUUACUGAGAAGCUUUUGACAUGGCUCUGUUGCAGGCAAACAGGAGUGGCGACCCUCUCUGAUAUUCUCCAGCUCACCCGGACGACUCCACUGACACGAACAGCUCAGCCCUGCAGAAAUAGUGGUGAGUUAGUGCAUGUUCCAAGGGAGAUAAUGGCAAAGUUAUUUUGCCUUUGGGCUCAAAGUCUGUAUGUGGGGAGUGAGCAGGGGGAGAAAGAGAGUGGGGGAAUCCCUUGCAAAAUAUUAUAGAAGGGUUUUCUUUUAAGUCCCUUUUAGCCCUCAGGAGCAGGCAAUGUUCAGCCAGGUCUUGUUUCACCAACAUAAUAUCUCUUUAUGAAUAGCUGGAGGGUUGCUAGCAAGUGUACUCAUUUAGCUGUGGAAGGGAUGUUUAAUAGCCAUCAAAACGGCGAACAACUUGACAACUGUUUGAUCAACUGAGAUGUCACCCGCAGAGAUGAAAUGACAUAUCUUCGGGUGAUAUGUGUCGGUCAUUAUUGAGUUGACUGUUAGCAGGAGAAGCAAGCUUUUUAAAAAAGCAGUUGUGUCAGACCAGAGCUUGACAUUAUGGGGGUCUCAUGGCUACUGCUGGAAGCAGCAGACCCACAUCCCUUUCUCCUCCUCACUUCCCCAGACUCACGAUGUUGUCACAUCCAAAGUUUCCCUGCCCUCAGUCAAUUUCAUUGGCUGCCCUUUGCACGGGCAAAGAGUGUUGCCAAGCAGUGAUGUCACUGAAUGGAUAGCACACACUGCAGGGAACAGGAGAGGAGGAGACAGUGUAAGGCUGCCAUUUUGGGUGGCAGCUGAGUAUCCUUCACAACAUCAAGUGUUGCUGCAGCAGCAAGAGUGGCAACAACAAACACAAAAUAGGCAUGUGUGAAAACCCAACAGAUUUAUUGUGGCAAGACUUGUUAUAGGCAUGAGUCUCCUUCAGAUGCAUGAGCAGUGAUCACCCCCACAUACACAUAGGCCUCAUCUGCACUAUACGUUUAAAGAAGUAUCAUGCUACUUUAAACAUUCUUGGCUUCCCCCAAAGAAUCCCAAGAGCUGUAGUUUGUUAAGAGUGCUAAGACUUGUUAGGAGACUUCCAUUCCCCUUGCAGAGGUACAAUUCUCAGAAUGGUUUAGCAAUCACUUCCCAUGGAACUCUGAGAAUUGUAGCUCUGUGAAUGGGAAUGCGGGUCUCCAAACAACUCUCACCUCUCUCAACCGACUUCAUUUCUCAGGAAUCUUUGGGGAAGCCCUGACAGUUUCAAAGGGUGUGUUUCAAAUGUAUAGUGCAGUUGGUGCCAAGCGCUAGUGUAGUUCAGUGUCGGUUUUAAAAGGACUGCAUCAUUCUCAGGGCAUAGUCUGAAGGUACAGAAUGUGUCAAUCUUGCUAGGCAGAUAGGGGUCUCAUCAGUGCUGGAAUAGAGGCUGGGUUAUUGGCAGAAAGAAAGAGUCAACCUGAAUUAAAUUGGGCGAGGUGGAAUAUGGGUUAGCGUUUUGAUGACUGAGUCAUGUGGAUCCUGAAAACACAGCUGCAUGGCUGAGGGAUAGGAAUAGGUGAACCUGUUGACUUUGGUUUUGAUCAGUUUCUAUUUUUUCCCCUAUCUUAAAUUCAGUUCUCUACAUCACAACAUCAAUUUGGGGUGGCUAUUUCAAAGUCUUCAUGAAAAUUCAUCAGCAUUUUAGGGCAGAUUUCUCAAAAUAUGCGCAUUUUUACAAGCUGUUUUCCCUAAAAUAAUGCAUUUUGUAUCUUAUGUUCACUAGUAUAUGCAUUUUUCUGCAUACUUUACCCUAGUACAGGCAUUUUUGUACACUUUACAUUGCUGUAAAACUUCACUUCAAAAUUCAGAGUUGUCCAAACUUCAAAGAAGUGUUUCAAUUGGUGCAAAUUAGCCAGGUUUCCCUUUGAAUGCAAACUGAAUUUCUCCCCAAUCCCACUUGACUUGCAGAAGUAUGUUGCAGAGGGUUGGACUAGAUGACCCUUGGGACCCCUUCCGAUUCUAUGAUUCUAUGAAAUUACAUCACUGCCACAGGAUUUGACUCCUCCCACUGCAAGCCUGGGAGACAACAGGGGAGCAUCAAAGACUUGAUGGGCAUGCAAAAAAAGAGUCUUGAACCUAUGCCAAGCAAUUUGUUCUGGCUUUAAUCAAGAUGUCGUCUUUUAACUCCAAAUGUCAUUCUUCUUAUUAUUUUUAAUCCCGUAUCAAAACUUUGAGCAGCAUACUGCAGCAUGAAUAAAUGCUACCCGUCAUUUAAACUUUCAGCAAUGUUUCAAAGCCUUGCAAAUGAGUGAUAGCCAUAUAUAUUUGUAUUCAUGCAUGUGUAUAUUCAUCAAAGUGAUGCAGUUAACAAGCUG